UUUCUAGAAUGUGGCAGAAAGUGCUUUCUGCUAUUCUAACCUUUCUACUGAAAGAUCCCCGAAGGAAGACCCUUAUUCAAGUCUCGGGAAAUCACGGACCCCAGACACAGAGAGACCA
rnacentral:pre_miRNA from 14 species